CACCUGCAGGGACCCAGGGGUGGCACAGGUCUGCAGCCGGUACCAUGCCCAAAUGCAAAGUCCUGCUCAGACAGAGGGCUUGUGGCCAUGCUGGCUGCUGGGGGCUUUCCUGCACCAUCCCAUCAAACCUCUGCUGCACCGACCCUGUGAGAUGGUCCCUCAGGUUCCUAUUUACAGUUGAGGAAAUGCUGAGAGGCAAGUCACUGUCCCCACCAACCCACCCUUCACCUCCCUGAGAUUCUUGCCCCUUUCUUUCCCUGGGACUCUGGCACCUCCAUCCUCAGGUCACGGCGGGCAACCCUCCCACUCCACAGAUGAAGAAACUGAGGCCCCGAGGAAGCUCGUCAGGAAGAGCCGGGACUUGAAUGCAGGUGGAGGGUCCCUGAACAGAGCUGUCCCAGCUUUUGAAGCACCUAACUUUGGGGGAAGAUUGGAUCCAUGUGCUUGUGGACACAGAAAACACCCAAGGCUGGGCGGGGCUGGGGCUCGCGGGAGCUGCUCCCAUGUGCCACCUCCUCUACGGUGCCUGCCCACCCCCUUGGUUAUGACUGGCUUCGGGUCUGCCUUCCCCACUAGGCCAUGAGGCACAGGGCCUGGGACAGAAUAGGUCAGUAAACCCUGAACCAUGGCCAGAUUGAAUUCCCUGCUCUCCGCCCUGCCCCAUGAUCUCUCCACCAGCUGGUCAUUCCCUCUGGCUCCCCAGGCCCCCCAAGAGAGACCAGUAAACUCACAAAGGCCAUGGUGUACUGGUUGAGCAUGAAGUCCCCGCUGACGGCCUGCUGAAAAGCUUCCACAGCAAAGUCUGGGGGUGGGAAGUUGGGGAAGCCCUGGCCCAAGUUCACAGUUUCAUACUCUUUGGACAGAUCGAUAAACUCCACCCUGGGGACAAACAGAGAGUUGGUCCCAGAUCACCCCUCUACCCUGCUGGACUUCUGUUUCCAGGCCAGAGUGAGCAUGCCUAGGCCCGAUGGCGAAACCUGGACAACUGGCAUCUGCCCCCAACCUGUAGACCUGCCUGGGGUCACAAUUGGUCCCAUUAGUCGACGAGAGAUGGACCAGACACUGUGGCGAGCACACGGGUCAGCAAGGAGGAUGUCAAGCUUCCCUGACCAUGACCCAGGGGAAGAAAUGUUGUUCCCAUCCCAAACACUGCAGAGUAUGAAGGACCACAGCCACACUGUUUUCUGUCCUUCCCCGCCCUACCCUGUUUAAAAACAGCCUUUGAGUGGGCAGGAGAUGGGGCUCAGUGGUACUUCUGCCUAGCACGCACCAGGCCCUGGGUUCCAUCUCUAACACUGGGGGUGGGGUGAGAUAAAUAAAUAAACAAAAAUAACAAGAACACCUGUGGAGACCCGCCAAGCAAUUGCUUAACUCAUUAUUGGAUGUGUCCACGGUAUAGUGUGAAUGCCCUGACCACAUAGGACCUCUGAGGCACACCCUCUGGGCCACUCUGGGGACAGAGCUGACAAGGUCUUCCAAGUACCACAGGCACAACCAGCCUAUAUCUAUCUAUGUAUCUAUCUAUGUGUCCAUCUAUCUAUCUAUAUAUCUAUCUAUCUAUAUAUGUGUGUGUGUAUAUAUGUGUAUGUAUGUAUAUAUAUCUGUAUGUAUAACUCUAAGUAAUCUUUACUCCACUCUGGUCAGAAUAGGGUCCUGCCAGCCUAUUUAUGCAAAUUUAGAUAUCAUUUAUAUCUAAAAUCUGUCAUCUUCCAUCAAGUUCCACAAUGCCUCUGGAGGCCCAGAGUUGCUAGGGCUCAGAGUGGGGAGUGACAGGCCCAGAGUCACACAGCAGCAAAUGGUAGACCCAAAAUUGGAAGGAGGAUAUUCCAUGGUGGUUGGCACAGGGGAUGUGAGGUUCAAAGGCUCCCGGGGGACAGGCUGCCCUCUUGUCUCUUCUGGCAUCUCACAGAGCUGGAUGCUACCUUAUUGGCAAGAGAGCCUUGUGACUGCCCAGACCGCUCCCAAGAGGCUGAGGGGGCAGCCCAAGGAUCAGGCCUCUGCAGCACCAGCCUAGAUGGCAGCCAGCAAGGCAGGGCUCUGGGCCCAGAUCCUGUUCCCAAUGCCAUGGGGCAUCCAAGGGGAAGAAGGGGUUCAAGACCUUUGUAAAAACAAAAUGCUAUACAUGGAAGUCUGGAAGAAAAACUGGUUCCAGAUUUUUGAUUUUUUUUUUUCUGGUACCAGGGAAUGAACCCAGGGAACACUCACCACCGAGCCACAUCUCCAGCCCUUUCUUUGUAUUUUAUUUAGAGACCAGUCUCACUGAGCUGCUUAAGGCCUAUUUAAUGGAUAAGGCUGGCUUUGAACUCCCAAUCCUCCUGCCUCAGCCUCCAGAGCCACUGGGAUUACAGGUGUACACCUCUCACCUAGCUUGGUUCCAAUUUUUGUGAAAAAAAAAAUUGUUUUUCUUUGAG